UACGGAGGGUGCAAGCGUUGCUCGGAAUCACUGGGCGUAAAGGGUGCGUAGGCGGGUCUUUAAGUCAGGGGUGAAAUCCUGGAGCUCAACUCCAGAACUGCCUUUGAUACUGAAGAUCUUGAGUUCGGGAGAGGUGAGUGGAACUGCGAGUGUAGAGGUGAAAUUCGUAGAUAUUCGCAAGAACACCAGUGGCGAAGGCGGCUCACUGGCCCGAUACUGACGCUGAGGCACGAAAGCGUGGG
rnacentral:rRNA from 1 species